UACGUAGGUGACAAGCGUUGUCCGGAUUUACUGGGCGUAAAGAGCGCGCAGGCGGUCGAUCAAGUCGAGUGUGAAAGCCCCCGGCUCAACUGGGGAGGGUCAUUCGAUACUGAUCGACUCGAAGGCAGGAGAGGGUAGUGGAAUUCCCGGUGUAGUGGUGAAAUUCGUAGAUAUUCGCAAGAACACCAGUGGCGAAGGCGGCUCACUGGCCCGGUACUGACGCUGAGGUGCGAAAGCGUGGGGAGCAAACAGG
rnacentral:rRNA from 1 species